rnacentral:rRNA from 1 species
GUGGGGAAUCUUGCGCAAUGGACGAAAGCCUGACGCAGCCAUGCCGCGUGAAUGAUGAAGGUCUUAGGAUUGUAAAAUUCUUUCACCGGGGACGAUAAUGACGGUACCCGGAGAAGAAGCUCCGGCUAACUUCGUGCCAGCAGCCGCGGUAAUACGAAGGGGGCUAGCGUUGCUCGGAAUUACUGGGCGUAAAGGGCGCGUAGGCGGACAGCUUAGUCAGAGGUGAAAGCCCAGGGCUCAACCUUGGAAUUGCCUUUGAUACUGGCUGUCUUGAGUUUGGGAGAGGUGAGUGGAACUCCGAGUGUAGAGGUGAAAUUCGUAGAUAUUCGGAAGAACACCAGUGGCGAAGGCGACUCACUGGCCCAAUACUGACGCUGAGGCGCGAAAGCGUGGGGAGCAAACAGGAUUAGAAACCCUGGUAGUCC